rnacentral:lncRNA from 1 species
UUGAAUCCCUAUUGGAUCGCAUAUUGAUGAAUAUGGUAGCUACUGAAGAUGUUACAUGGUGCCCAUCUCAAGGUUUGACUUCGAACCAACCAAGCUGAGGAGGUCACGUGGCUAGAUAGUGAUGAUGACUUGGAGCAUGAUGCUAACAAGGAUCUUGCUGAAAAUGAUGCAAGUCCAGAUAAGGGCAAAAAAUGAGUGA